GGGGGCCGUGAGCUGCUCUGUGCCCUGGAGUGAGCCUGAGGAUUCAGCAGAGGGUCCCAGGGAAGCCCGCCGACCAGUCCCCAGCCCCGGAGGCCCUCUCACCUGCAGGUGCCUGAGAACGGAGCCGGUGUCUGGCCUGCCAGAGACCGACGUACACUCACACACACACUUCUUACCCAAAACCUUUGGGAGUCGGCAUGCACAUCAUGACCCCUAAAUGCUUCUUACACCCUGAAGAGGGAUGCUCUCUUACAAACCCACGCUGUGCUGACCAGGUUCGGGAAAUUCUGCACUGAUCCGACCCUUGCACCAAGUCUACUGUCCUAUUCCACGGUUGUCAAUAAGGCUCAGCACUUGUUCAUGCUCUUCAGAAUAAAAAAAGUGAAAAUCUC